UUUCCCUGCAACAAAACUCAAGAUCGGCUGUUGGGAGAGGAAGUCAAGAAAUGAAGGUGAUAUUGUAGCUAAGUUUUACUAUGCUAGGCGAAAACUUGUUU